ensembl:lncRNA
GUUAACCAUUAAGUGACAUCUCAACCAUUUAGUAGAGAUCAAUAUUUUAAAAACUACAGGGUCUAUUGAAAAAAAAAUAUUGAUUGUGGUUAUUACUCACCCAAGUCAAUAAGAAAUGCAAAGAGAAUUUUUUUUUUCCAUUGCUUUUUUCUUGGUGUGGACCUCAAAGGGUUAACAUACUCGCAACUAUUUUAACUAUUAAAAACUACUAUUAUAAUCGAACCCAAUUAAUUUGUACUGGUUUGUGCGGUUAUUUGUAAGCAACAAAACAGAAAAUAGUUUUUAAAUAUUCAGGAUUGGAAAUCAGAGAUUGAUUUUAAAAGCCAUUUGUAGCAUUUGUGCAAUCUAUUCUUAUCUCUUCCUAUAUUAUGUCUUCUUUCUUUUUUCUUUUCUUUUCUAAAAGUGUGCACCAGCUGAUGUGACUGAAACAAUUGUGUGUGAUUGUUUCACAGAUGAUGGUAAUGGUCCAAUCCUGGUGAGUCCUGUUCAUCCUGUGACUGAGGGAGCUUCUGUUAGUCUGAGCUGCAGUUUGAGAACACAAAAAAUACUUUCCAAUGUGUUUUUCUAUCACAAUGACAAACUUAUUGAAAAUGAUCCCCGAGGGGAGCUGAAGAUCUCUGCAGUGUCAAAGUCUGAUGAAGGUUUCUACAAGUGUCAGUACUCAGGAAGAGAGUCAGCACAGAGCUGGAUGUCAGUUAAAGUAGGUGUGUUAUGUCCUGAAAGCUCUUCUUUGCCUGUGUGGUUGAUUGUUGGAUUGGCUUGUGGAAUCUCUGUCUUUAUUAUUGUCCUGCUCUCGUUUUAUCACUUUAGAAAAAAAAAGGAUUCAGGCUUCAUCAGUCCAAUGACCACCACCAAUCAUGUAGUCAACCAGAGUGAAAUUCACAAACACAACUGUCUUGACCAUGGUGCAGGUGAAAUACACGAUGUUACAUACUCUGUAAUUCAGCUUAAACAUGUUGGAAAAAAGAGGAAGCGUCAUAAAUCACAGGAGCAUACUAUUUACUCAGAGGUGAAGGUGGGAGUUGAAGAAAAAUCAAGUCCUGCAGCAUCUAAUGAGGAACUUUACUCCGAAGUCAGAUUAGAAAGCAGUCUCGAAGACAUUCCAACAUAUGCCGAGAUCAACCGUCACAAUAAAGCAAAAGCUAAGGAAAACCAGGAAGACAGUCCAACGUAUGCCCAGGUCAACCGUCACAAUAAAAGAGCAUCCAAGAACAACCAGCGUCAUUGAACCGAAUUGUAGCAGUAAAACCAACCUCAAGCUUCUUAUACAGAAAUGUCUGUAGCUUGUUCAGUAUUUUGUACAGUUUUUUUAGUGAUAGUCAUCAUCAUUAUAAUAUACAGUAUACAAUAUAUAUAAUAUAUGGUACAGACAAGGUGUUUUCAUUUAGUGUUCAUAUUAUCUGUAUUCAUUUAAUAAUAAAACAUGAUUUAAAGUUAGCUUUUGCAGUGUAACAUACGAUAGGUUCCUCUAUGGGUACAAAGAAAUACUAUAAAUGCAUGUAUUGAAAGUUUUUGAACAUUACCUAAAAGAGGACUGAUAUAAUACUGUAUGGAUUUAAAUGUGUGAAUAAAUGCAUUUCUUCAUGGAAAUUGUAUGCAGUUAUAGUUUGGGUUUUUAUCUUUUUUUAUUUUGGCCUGAGCAGUGUUUUUGUUCUAUCAUGAUAUAGCUCUACAAUAUAAUUGUAAAAAUGUAAAGGAUUUAUCUUUUGUAACUUUCAACUAAAUGACCAUGUAUACAAUAUGAAUAGCAAAUCACAGAGACAGCUUAAAGUUAAUAGACAUUUAGUACUGGGGUUCUAUUAUUUUGAAAAACGAGUGUUUAGAAAAUCCAAUCAGAGUAAAUUCUCCGCUAUAAAAAUUUUCCUCUACAUUGGACCUAAUAAUUUGCUCAUGCACCAUUUUUCUUCCGAUCUUCACUGAAAAUGGGAAAAUACUAUUUUCAGACAAAGACUCAAAAUCUCAAAAUUUUGGCAAUCUGGGUUGGUCAAAAAUCAACCAAGCAACUUUUUUUUUUUUUUCUUCGCAAUUUUGAGACCAACUGAACAGCUUUAUCCUUUCAUCUCUGCAUAUAAUGUUGGAACACCUGGGCUUGAGGUACCCCUGUUCUGAGUAAGCUUGGUUAUAAAAGUGCCCUCCUUUCUGCAGUCACACCUCUCCAUUGCUCUCUGUCUGGAUUUUUGUUUAAAGCCUUCUGACUUGGACAAGCCAGGAUAUAGCAUGAUUUCUUGAGUCAUUUUUUGUUGCUUUCUACAUGCUUUGCUAUGCAUCCUGCAUUAACGAUGGGCAACAACAUUUUGGUAUUGAUCCAAUGUUGUGUGCACUUUAUGUAGUCCUGUAUUGAUUUACUGUUUUAUGUAGCACCAAGGUCUUGGAGGAAUGCUGUCUCGUUUCACUGUGUACUGAACCACUGUAUAUGGUUGACAUGACAAUAAAGCCACUUGACUUGAGUUUAUAUGUCUGUAAUUGUUAGAUGUAUUUUUUUAGGCUGUAAGCUGUAAUCAUCAAAAUUGUAAAAAAUGUAAACAAUGAAAUAUUUA